rnacentral:lncRNA from 1 species
GGUGAGCCUGUAAAGUUUUAGGAUCAAGGUUAAAGGCCCUUUUUUGCUCUCUUCUCUCUUGGACCUUCAGGCGACGGCUUGGGUAUCUUCCAAGCGAAUUUUCCUUUCUUUCCUGUUCUUUUUUUUUUUUGAGACGGAGUCUUGCUCUGUCGCCCAGGCUGGAGUGCAGUGGCGUGAUGUCGGCUCACUGCAAGCUCCGCCUCCCGGGUUCACGCCAUUCUCCUGCUUCAGCCUCCUGAGUAGCUGGGGCUACAGGCGCCCGCCACCACGCCCGGCUAAUUUUUUUGUAUUUUUUUUUUUAGUAGAGACGGGGUUCCACCGUGUUAGCCAGGAUGGUCUCGAUUUCCUGACCUCGUCAUCCUCCCGCCUUGGCCUCCCAAAGUGCUGGGAUUACAGGCUUGAGCCACCGCGCCCCGCUCUUUCGUGUUCCAAAGGCUUUUUAAAUAAACUUCCACUCCUGUCCUGGAUUCUGCUUUAUGGCCCUCAGUCGAAUUCUUUCUUCUGAGGAGGCAAGGACUGAAGUUGCUUCUGACCAGUACAGGAGAAAACGAAUACAGCAGGGAUGACUUCCACCAGCUCCACUUUGCAGCUCUGAGGUGUAUUAAAAAUGACCUGGAAGAAGUCAUGCCACGGGCCAGACCUUAACAUUCCUUUCGGCUUACCCCAGGAUUUCAGACAAAGCUUCACUUUCCUAACCAGUCACAAAUCAGAGAAUUUUUGAUUCCACCUAUGACCUGUGAGCUCCUGCUUCAAGAUAUUCCACCUUUUUUAGGCCAAACCAAUGUAUAACCUCCAAGUGUCGAUUUACACUUUCGACUGUAACUUCUGCUUUCCUGAGAUUUACCCCUGCCUUUAAAAACCCUUGCUUGUAAUCCCUCAGGGAGGCCGUGUAUUUAUUAAUCAUGAGCUGCCCAAUUCUCCUUGCUUGGUGCCCUGCAAAUAAACACCCUCUUUUCUCCCACUGCAAAA